ACGACUUUCUGUUUGGCAUCUCCCAGCCACAGGAGAAAAAAGGCCUUGCAGUGUGCCCAGUGCUCCAGCAGAAACGGACUGGGCUGCGGGGACGAGGGGACCCAGCAUCUGCUGGCUCCAGCGAGGGGAGGCAUCGAAAUGCGAGCUGGAAAUCAGCACACAUGAGGAGCCCAUGCAGAGUGGGGCUGCUCCCCACACCAGGGCCUAGUGAACAUUGAGAACACUACCAGCUGGGGACCGUCACCUGAGUGCCUCUGGGAAGCUGCCUUCUAGAAGUUUCUCUGGGAAUCCAGCUGAGAGUGGUAUAUAUAAUUUCGAGACUCCAAUUUUCAUCCCAGGGCCAGGCUGCCGGGGCGGACAGUGGAGGGCAAGAGCUGCUGGGUCUGCGGAGGGCUCUGAGGAGGGACCCUGCAGCCAGCUGGUGCCGGCAGGAGAGGGGGGAACACGGGGUGCACAUCCAGGCCACUGUCGGCUGACAGGCACGAGGAAGACAGGACUGGCACUGGAAGCUGCAAACCAGACGGAGGAAUCUUUCUCGCUCUCUCAAAGCAAGACACCGCCCUCAGUGUCCUGUCAUUCACCUGUUGGCAUCCACCCUCCGUGGCCAGGAGAGUGAAGUCGUGGCGCAAGACCAGCGAUUUCCAACAAAGCCUGAAAGAGACUUUCGAGAUUUUGAAAGCUGAAUGGAAACUAUAUUUGUAUCUAUGCAACCACACAAGCGAAUGAAAAGUGAAAUUUCUCCUCUCUUUAGAACUCUGUCAACUUGGUGUAGUAGCACUGGCUGCAUACAUUUCAUGCUGAUCAGAAGUUCUGAGGCAGGUGUGUGUCUUAGAGGAACGAUUUUAAUAAUGAGAGCAGCGCCUGGACUCUUGGUCCUGGGCCAAGAAAAACACUGAGAUGAUGUGUAACUGGGAAAACAGCCGGGCCUAGAGCAUCCGGUCUUUAUGGGGGACCCUCGGAGGAAAGGUCAGGGAAGGGCAGCAGUGAAUCCAAAGCAAGUACUGUGUUUCCUGCUUAAAGGUAAUUGGCACUGGAGUAGACCAGAAAUCCCCACCCCAAAACAGCACUGUAGGAGUUCCAAACACACCACCUCCAAAUGUGCCACUUCGGUGAGCUGAAGGCAUCUGAGAAAGAGCAGAUGCAGGGAGAGGCCUUCUCUGAACUCCCCUCUCUGCCUUUCUCCCUCUAAAAGGAACUCAGGCGUUGAUCCCCUCCCACAAGUUUCACAGACCAGGAACCCGACUAUUGUCACAGGAGAGGAGCCCAGUUGUGGGUGCCACACCCAGACAGACUGUCACAAACUAUCACACUUCCCAUUUGUUCUUCUGUGGACCCAGCCAUCUUGGCUAAGCCGCUGACUGACCCCUCAGCAGCCCACAGGCCCCCUCCCCACCCAGGGUGGUGAUUCAGCCUUAGCUCCAAGCCCCAGGAGGAGUCUGUCGACUCAUCUCCCAUGAGCACGGGAAGCACACAUGUUAAUGAACUUCUGCUUCUUUUCCUCUUGUUAAUCUGCCUUUUAUUACAGGGGUCUUAGCCAAGAUCUCAGAAGCGUUAAGGGAAAAUUACUUUUCCUCCCCUACAGCAUCAGCCACAAGAAUUUUUUUUUAAUUCGAGAAGGAACAUAUUAGCCCCAAACAAGCGCUACUGCCCCACAGCCCCGGAUCCUCCAGCCCUCCAACAGCCAGGUCAUUCUUCAUGUCAACACAAAAACAAACCCACACCAGCUCCUGAGCAUGCUCCAGCAGCAGGGCAAGCCGAGUCUCCUCUUUGCAGUUUGCGGGGAAGCUGGAACUGGAAACACCCAAGACCGAGAUGAACUCAUGACUCCGCUUGCAGAGAGGCUCCACAGGCCUCCUCCCCACGUCCCUGCGUGUCCGGCUCAUACCUGCUACAGGGGAACGGGUGUGGCCACCGCCCCUGUGGGAGUCCAGCCAGGCCGCAUGGAACUCUGAUGGCACCAGGGGAAAUAUCCACCCGCCUAACCAAUUAGUUCAUUAAACCGAGUCAUAGAAAACUCAAGGCUGCCAUUUCUGCCUUUGGCGAAGUCCCUCUCCCCAUUCUCAGCUUCUCCUGGUCCCACCCAGCACCCCAGUCUGCCACUGAGCCUAGUGAAAAGUUUCCCAGGGAAUCAAGACAACUGUGAUUUAGAGCUGGCAGUUAAAAAUUCAAAAAGUAAACACAUACAAGCCGAGUGGUGACUGAGCACCUGCU